GGGAAUAUGGCUCAGUAGGUAGAGCAAUUGACUGUUAAUCAAUGGGUCACAGGUUCGAGCCCUAUUAUUCCCGCCA
rnacentral:tRNA from 1 species